UACGGGGGGUGCAAGCGUUGUUCGGAAUUACUGGGCGUAAAGGGCGCGUAGGCGGCCUGUUAAGUCGAACGUGAAAUCCCCGGGCUCAACCCGGGAACUGCGUCCGAUACUGGCAGGCUUGAAUCCGGGAGAGGGAUGCGGAAUUCCUGGUGUAGCGGUGAAAUGCGCAGAUAUCAGGAGGAACACCGGUGGCGAAGGCGGGUCUCUGGGCAACAACUGACGCUGAGGAGCGAAAGCGUGGGGAGCGAACAGG
rnacentral:rRNA from 1 species